rnacentral:lncRNA from 1 species
AAUUUCUCCUUCUGUUUUUGCGCAUGGAUACUGCUCGUGUGUCUUGUAUUUUUCAGAAUUGACCUUCUUCUCGACAUGCUGCUGAUGGACACGUUUUGGGGAACUGAAAAGGAUGCUAAGCUUUGAAUAAAGAAUCAGAUGAAUCUAGGAAAAGCUGCACUAUCUUUAAAAAAAAAGAAAACUUUAUUCCUUGUUGGUCAUGCAGAUUCAUGGGUUUGUGAUAUCCAGAUGAAAGAGCUUCUCAACGUUGUUCGGCAAUCUUUAUCAAAUGGUGGGGAUUAGUUUUUGCCCUCCCAAUGAAGUGGCUCAGAAUGAAGUGGCUCCAGAAUCUGCUGUUGUAGACAUAUAUUCGUACAGACCACAGUGCUGACAUUAAAUGUCUUUAGUGGUAGGCGGAUAGUGGCUUAUCGUCGGGCUAACCGUGGGAGGUCUUUCAUGGUUUUCCUCACCAUGUAACGCAAAUGCGGGUUAGUUGCAACAAAGUCCUCCAUGAAGGCUAGUUUGAUCAAGGUGUUCCCUUGUCUUCUGGUUUCGUUUCAAAUGUCUUGCGUUUCAAUUCUUAUGGAACUGAAGAUUUAUAUUUGCGCACUAAACAAGCCUGUUUUUCAAUCCUUGACUUUUGGAGAAUUCUUGCUCCAAACCCUGCAAAAGCAUGUAGAAUUUUUUCAGCUUAUUUAUAAAAUGUUAAACUCUACGAUCGUAUUUAGUGUUUACUUAGUUGUUAUACUGACUUUCAUUUGUUGUUGUUGUGUAAUGGAAGAUAAUGUUAGAAAAAAUAUUUUUUAAACAAAAACUAUUAAACAUAUUGUGUAAAAUAUUACCUAGUUUAUGUAAUUCCAGAGUCUACAUGAAAAGUGUCCACAGUACCUGUUUUUUUACUGUUAGAAAGCUUUUGUGGCUAAGAGCAGACAAGCGAUCGCAGAGUGAGGUUAUAUAAAGUGUGGCGUUUAGUAUAAUUUAAAAACAAAAUGUGACUUUUUUUUUUCUAGAAAAUUAGUUACGGAAAACUAGUUGUGUAAACAUAUUCGUGAUUAAUUGAUACGAGCAGUGAUUAAUUUUCUAUUAAUAUUGGUUAGAAAUUUCUUAGAUACCUUAAAGUCUUGAAAAACAAAUUAAGCCUUUUGUAGGGAAAUUUUUUAAAUAUUGAAUUUGUCAUUUUUAAAAGGGGUGUUCUUCACUUUGGAUCCAUUGGAGAAAACCCCUUUUCAAAAUGAUUUAAUUCAAUUUCUAAAUUAGUCUAGAAAAUUUUUAAAUGUGUUAUUUAAUGUUAAGUAACUUUGAUCAAAAUUCCCUUUUAUUUAAGUUAUCAAGUAGAUUUAUAAUUUCAUAGAAAAACUUCCCGUAUAUUUCAUAAAUACAUUUUACUUUGGCUUAAAUUCAUGAAAUAAAAUGUAAUUUCAGAUUAUUGAAAUUAGUUUAAUUGCAAUUUCUCCCUUAAUUUCAAAUGUUUCUGGAAAUAAGAUGUUUUUACGGAGUAAAAUUUAAAGAUCCAUUCAGAUUAAUAAAAUUAAAACCCCUGCUUCUAAUUUCUUAAAACUUUUUAUUUUAAUACAGAUUUAUGCGAAACUGAACUAUUUCAUGGAAAUUUUUUAUCUGAAUUUGCGAAAAUACGAAAUUCCAAAUUUUAAAUUAAAUAACUCUUAAGACUUUGUUUGUAUACACUGCGGGUUGAGAAAAAUUUUAUUUAUUAUAUUUUUAUAUUAGAUUCAAUCCUUUAAAACAAACUUUCAGAUUAACUGCUCUCAGUCACCGAAGCUUUUAUUGUCCCUGUCAAAGUUUUUCAAACUUAGUAUUUUAUUCACUGUAAUAUAUUUCUAUUCUAUGUAAUAUAUUCUGUUCUCCAUAAACUAUUCUAUGUAAUAUAUUUG